UACAGGGGGUGCAAACGUUGCUCGGAAUUAUUGGGCGUAAAGCGCGCGUAGGCGGCCACUUAAGUCGGAUGUGAAAGCCCCUGGCUCAACUGGGGAAGUGCACCCGAAACUGAGCGGCUUGAAUGCAAAAGAGGGUCGCAGAAUUCCCGGUGUAGAGGUGAAAUUCGUAGAUAUCGGGAGGAACACCGGUGGCGAAGGCGGCGACCUGGGUUGACAUUGACGCUGAGGCGCGAAAGCGUGGGGAGCAAACAGG
rnacentral:rRNA from 1 species